AAUUAAAUGACUGCAACAGCCCAGUUCUUUAAAAAAAACAGGGUUUAAAGGUAAAAGAGAGAGCAGUUUCAGUUCUUUUUAAAAAAAAGAUGGGUUGAAACCCAACUUCAAAUCCCGCCCACAGCGAGAUGCAGUGGUUAAAAACAUAUUCCACAAACUGAGUAGCAGAUAGUGUUUUCUUUUACUGGUCCCGACAACUUUAGUUGGGUGUCCAGUGAAGGAGGGAAAAAAUAAUGUCCUCAUUUAAAUCAAGAAGCAUUUCCGACGAGGUAGGACCAGCGCGAAGUCAGCAAAAGUGACGGGCCGAAUGUAAUGAAAGGAGAAAAGCGAUGCCGGCGAUUCUUAGCCCAGGUUUUAAAUUUUAUUUCCAGAGUAGGAGGAAUGAAUCUGAGUUUCACCAAUAGACCCCGAACUUUGGUCUGCAGUGUUGGAAUUCUGCUGGUUGGGAAAGGACCGAGAGAAAUGUUCAACUUUCUGUAAUUCCGAUUGAAUCUACAAUAUCGUGUGAUUUUUGUUGCAGUGCAGAUUGCAGAAUGGUCUUUUCUAAUUUCUGCGUCCUGAUGUGUUAACGUUGGUUCUUCGCCGUUCCGUAAAACUAAAUUCCACUUUCAGUAACUCCGACGCUGUUCUGUGAAAGGUCGGAAAAAAGUUUGGGGGAGGGGUUCAUUCAGCUCUGGAGUUUUAUUCUGCUUAAUUAGAUGCUAAAUCCCGCAAAUUUGUAAUCCUGCUUUACCAUUGAAUUACAUUUUCAUAUAAAUCAAAGCAACCAACCUCAGUUGUCGAAUUUAAAGUAUAUAUAUUCAACGGGGUGAGAAAAAAAUAUCUGUCCAUGUACUGUGCUGAUUCUAAACCAUUUUCUUUUUGAAGUACUUGGGUUUCUGUUGCAAGUGAAACAGGGUUAGGGUAAUGGAUGGAAUAUCAAAUUCAUUAUUAUCAAAUACUGAAAAAGCAUAUUUGUUAACAAUUUCCUGGAUAAAUGAAAAAAUUGUACAUACGUAACAAACUGAUAUUUUAAACAAAUUAGAACAAAUUAGUGGCAUAUAAUGACAGUUACCUGCAAUGUUGAAUAGUGUGUUCACUGACUAAAUAUUAUUGUAAAUCAAAGCAAGUUUGUGUUUAGUGUUUGGAAAAUAAAUAUUGUAAGAUUUUUUGAUUUUUA